rnacentral:tRNA from 1 species
UCUUCGAUGGUCUAGUGGUCAUGAUUUCCGCUUGUCAUCCCAGAUAACAAGCGCGGGAGACCGGGGUUCGAUUCCCCGUCGGAGAG